UACGUAGGUGGCGAGCGUUGUCCGGAAUUACUGGGUGUAAAGGGCGUGUAGGCGGGAUAUUAAGUCAGAUGUGAAAUUCUGCAGCUUAACUGCAGAGCUGCAUCUGAAACUGAUGUUCUUGAGUGCUGGAGAGGAUAGUGGAAUUCCUAGUGUAGCGGUGAAAUGCGUAGAUAUUAGGAGGAACACCAGUGGCGAAGGCGGCUAUCUGGACAGUAACUGACGCUGAGGCGCGAAAGCGUGGGGAGCAAACAGG
rnacentral:rRNA from 1 species